AUUGAACGCUGGCGGCAGGCUUAACACAUGCAAGUCGAGCGGGGUGAUGGUGCUUGCACUAUCACUUAGCGGCGGACGGGUGAGUAAUGCUUAGGAAUCUGCCUAUUAGUGGGGGACAACAUCUCGAAAGGGAUGCUAAUACCGCAUACGUCCUACGGGAGAAAGCAGGGGAUCACUUGUGACCUUGCGCUAAUAGAUGAGCCUAAGUCGGAUUAGCUAGUUGGUGGGGUAAAGGCUUACCAAGGCGACGAUCUGUAGCGGGUCUGAGAGGAUGAUCCGCCACACUGGGACUGAGACACGGCCCAGACUCCUACGGGAGGCAGCAGUGGGGAAUAUUGGACAAUGGGGGGAACCCUGGUCCAGCCAUGCCGCGUGUGUGAAGAAGGCCUUAUGGUUGUAAAGCACUUUAAGCGAGGAGGAGGCUCUUUUGGUUAAUACCCAAGAUGAGUGGACGUUACUCGCAGAAUAAGCACCGGCUAACUCUGUGCCAGCCGCCGCAGUAA
rnacentral:rRNA from 1 species